UGCCGUUCUCAGGGCGGGGUGCAAUUCCCCACCGGCGGUAUCGGGCGCAUGCCCGGAGCCCGCGAGCGCUUCCGGCUUCCGCCGGAAGGUCAGCAGAUCCGGUGAGAUGCCGGAGCCGACGGUAUAGUCCGGAUGGAAGAGAACACGC
rnacentral:ncRNA from 2 species